rnacentral:rRNA from 1 species
UACGGGGGGAGCAAGCGUUGUUCGGAUUUAUUGGGCGUAAAGGGCGCGUAGGCGGUGCGGUAAGUCUGCAGUGAAAUCUCUGGGCUCAACUCAGAGUCUGCUGUAGAAACUGCCGUGCUUGAGUGUGGGAGAGGUGAGUGGAAUUCCCGGUGUAGCGGUGAAAUGCGCAGAUAUCAGGAGGAACACCAAUGGCGAAGGCAGCACUCUGGGACGUGACUGACGCUGAGACGCGAAAGCGUGGGGAGCAAACAGG